UAGUAUUUUCUUGUUUUUACCUGGUAAUAUUAUUUCCGACACCCCUUGAACACACUUUGAUUUUCUGUAGUUCAGUGAAUGCAACAAAAGCACGUUGCUGCAUUAAGCUAGGCAAAACGGAGCAAGACACCGAGAGCAAAUAACAAGCUACACAAGGCCUUUAUGUGUUUUACUCUCGACCAAAACCAGGCAGAGCGUGUAUUUGUUUCUUGGGAAUUCCGACUGGUUUUUUGUGAUCCUGGAUCUGAAGUGGUUCUGGAUAUGGAUGGCGAGCCAGACCCUGUGAAAACUCUUGGCGAAUCCAAAAGCAGUGUGGCCAGCUGUUCUGGAUGCAGGAGUAGAGCUACAGUCUGAAUUACUUCGAAUCGCAGGAUUUCAGAUAAGCAAGAACAAAAA